GACGAACGCUGGCGGCGUGCUUAACACAUGCAAGUCGAGCGGUAAGGCCCUUUCGGGGGUACACGAGCGGCGAACGGGUGAGUAACACGUGGGUGACCUGCCCUCAGCUCUGGGAUAAGCCCGGGAAACUGGGUCUAAUACCGGAUAUGACUCCAUGACGCAUGUUGUGGGGUGGAAAGCCUUGUGCGGCUGAGGAUGGGCCCGCGGCCUAUCAGCUUGUUGGUGGGGUGAUGGGCCUACCAAGGCGACGACGGGUAGCCGGCCUGAGAGGGCGACCGGCCACACUGGGACUGAGACACGGCCCAGACUCCUACGGGAGGCAGCAGUGGGGAAUCUUGCGCAAUGGGCGAAAGCCUGACGCAGCGACGCC
rnacentral:rRNA from 1 species